rnacentral:rRNA from 1 species
UACAGAGGGGGCAAGCGUUGUUCGGAAUUACUGGGCGUAAAGGGCGCGUAGGCGGCCGCCUAAGUCAGACGUGAAAUCCCUCGGCUCAACCGGGGAACUGCGUCUGAUACUGGGUGGCUUGGAAUCCGGGAGAGGGAUGCGGGAAUUCCAGGUGUAGCGGUGAAAUGCGUAGAUAUCUGGAGGAACACCGGUGGCGAAGGCGGCAUCCUGGACCGGCAUUGACGCUGAGGCGCGAAAGCCAGGGGAGCAAAGCGGGAUUAGCAAACCCCGUGUACGUCCG